CGUCAUCCAAAUUCAGGAGAUCAGCGGACAGCGGUUCCGGAUGGCUUCAAUUUGUUUGGCUGUCUCUUGCCAAUUAUCGGUUUUAACAUGACUCGAGCCUACCACUUUUGCUUUUCCUUCUAAACGAACCGAGCCAAACGGCCACGAAACGACGUUAGUUCUCUGCUCGUUCCCGUUCAAAUUACGCAUACCAAAAAAAUGAAGAUAGAGAUAGAGGAUAUGCAAACGGAAGCAAGAGUAGGUGUGGUGGUGGUAGAAGGAGGUCAGAGAGUUCUGGAUGCGGGCCAUGGAACCGUGGCCGCUGAAAGCGGUGUCCGGAGUCUGGCACAGCAACAGCAGAGGUCGCUGCGUCGGCAAUCGCAGAUCGGAAAUAUGUCGCAGCUUCUCGCUGGAGGAGUAGCCGGCGCUCUCAGCAAGACUUGUACCGCACCGCUUGCUCGGCUUACUAUUCUCUUUCAGGUGCAAGGUAUGCACUCUGAUAUUGCAACAUUGAGAAAGGCUAGCAUAUGGCAUGAGGCUUCACGAAUUGUUGGUGAAGAAGGAUUCAGAGCUUUCUGGAAAGGAAAUUUGGUCACAAUAGCUCACCGACUACCUUAUUCGUCUGUCAAUUUCUAUGCAUAUGAGCACUACAAAAAGAUGCUAAAGAUGAUUCCAGGACUUGAAGGUCAUAGGGAAAAUACAGGCACAGACCUCAUUGUACAUUUCAUGGGUGGUGGUUUGGCGGGAAUAACAGCUGCAUCAACUACAUAUCCUUUGGAUCUUGUGAGGACACGUCUUGCAGCUCAGACAAAUGUGAUUUAUUACAGAGGUAUUUGGCAUGCUUUGCAAACUAUUUGCCAAGAGGAGGGUAUCUUGGCACUCUAUAAGGGACUUGGAGCAACAUUAUUGGGUGUUGGACCCAGUAUAGCUAUCAGCUUUUCUGUGUAUGAGAUGUUAAGAUCUUUUUGGAAAUCACAUAGGCCCAAUGAUUCUACUAUUGUGGUUAGUCUGGCUUGUGGCAGUCUUUCAGGAAUUGCAUCCUCAACAGACAAAGAGGGUGUGGUGCAGGCUCUGCACCAAGUUAGUUAACCAGACUGACACCUAGAACCAGAGACCAGACUGGAGUGGUUUUUUUAUUCUGGCAUUUGAGAAUUUUACUUGCAGUGAGUUACUUUAUUGGGUGGCACUACUUUCAGGUCAACUAAUGUUCUCUCAGUGAUCAAAUGUGAGAGGUGUCCUCAUUGAGGUGAUCUUGGGAUUAACCGUGGCUUUGUGAUAUUGCCUCCACUUUAUGGCCUCUUUUUUAUCAGCAUACUAUUCUUAAUGAAGGCUGUCUGUGUUCCAUUCAUUGCUUCGCUACUAUUGGUUCAUUGUAACAACGUUUUUACUGCUCAAACACCUAUAUCAUCCUCUUUGUUUUACGUAUCUCAUCUUUCAAGACCAUUAAACCCAACUUGGUGAAUAAGAAAUUGAUAUCCUUGCUGCGAAUAAUUAAUUCAACAUUUCCAUUGGAUCUUGUGAGGAGAAGGAAACAAUUGGAAGGAGCAGGUGGUCGAGCCCUUGUCUACACAACUGGCCUUUAUGGUACGUUUAGGCACAUAAUUCAGACAGAAGGUUUCCGGGGCUUGUACAGAG